CCUUACCUAAGCUUGACAUCCCAAUGACAUCUCCUUAAUCGGAGAGUUCCCUUCGGGGACAUUGGUGACAGGUGGUGCAGGGUUGUCGUCAGCUCGUGUCGUGAGAUGUUGGGUUAAGUCCCGCAACGAGCGCAACCCUUGUCUUUAGUUGCCAUCAUUAAGUUGGGCACUCUAGAGAGACUGCCAGGGAUAACCUGGAGGAAGGUG
rnacentral:rRNA from 1 species